AAGCUAUAUAAAUGGACACUGAGCCCUCCCCCCUCUCAUCACAUCUCGAUCCAACGCCAUGGAGGCCAAGGUCGCAGCAAUAGCUUUGGUCUUGCUCUUUCUUACCUUGGGUGGAGAGGCCGAGUUGUGCAAGCAGCGUAGCCGAACUUUCAAAGGGCGGUGCACCCACAACGACAAUUGUUUUGCCAUCUGCCUCACUGAGAACUUCACCGGAGGGUAUUGCCACGGCGUUGUAGAACGUCACUGCAUGUGUACUAAGAAGUGUGGCGAGCCGCCGGAAGAGCCAGAGGAGCCGCCGCUACCGGAAAUGAUGAUCUGACUGAAGUGUGCCUGAGAUUUGAGUUGAUGACAAUGAAAUUAUCUCUCUACCAAAACCUGGUCAGAGAGUGAGAAAUGAAAUAAAGUAAACCAUAUUAUAUGA